UAAAAUCAGGUCCCCAGCCUGUGCCUCUCAUUAGUCAAACCCAGCCAGAAGCCAGAGGGCAAGAAAGCCCUCCGAUGUAGUCACAGAGGAGGCGGAUGUAGGGUCAGCCUCCCAACACGGAGCAGUAUAAAGGAUGGAGAGGGAGUCAGGAAAGGCAAAUGUUCCAUGACUGCGAGAAAUAAUUUUUUAUUUUCAUGCAUAAAGUCCACCACAACGUACACAUUUAAAGAAAGAUGAUAUGAGAUGACAAGAUGCCCCCAUGAUGAGACAAACGAGGUGGAUGAUGCAAGCAUUGUGACGUCACGUGACACAACGUUGCUAUUGACGCUCUGAAGAUUCAACAGAAAGAGGAGCAUCCGCUUCCCCAAGGCGGUUGACACGGUAACUGAAACAAUGGAAAGCAAAACCCUAGGGGCUUAUUUUUCAUGGGCUUUGCAAUGAGCAUGCACCAAAGAACUGAAGUCUCUAUAUCACCUCAGGGAAUGUACAUUUGUUCCAAUCAGACUACUUUUUGCCCUAUAUGGGCAUAAGUGACUUCUGGGUAAGGCUGUAACCUCUGUAGUGCUCAGCCAAUGAGGAGUCAGGGGAGGGACUUCACACUAACAGAUAAAUUGCCUGCUGUAAGUGCCCCAACUGUGCCUGUCCCUCAAACACCCGCUCUUGCAAGAACGUUAAUUAAAGCCUUGCUUCACUGUGCUGAGUCUCCAUGUCCCUCCUUUGAUUGAGUCAGUGGGAUUAUUUUUCACAUGGUAGAAGGCCAUGAAGCGUCCUAUUCUCUAAAAAUCAUAUUAUGAUAAUUUUUCAAAAGACGGAAGCAAGUAUGUUGAGAAAGAGGUGCCUUUUGGGGGCAUCUGGAUGGCUCAGUUGGUUAAGCAUCUAACUCUUGAUUCUG